rnacentral:rRNA from 1 species
GGGCCCCGCACAAGCAGCGGAGCGUGUGGUUUAAUUCGUUGCUACACGAAGAACCUUACCUGGGUUUGACAUAUAGGUUGUAGGGAACUGAAAGGGACCGACCCUUCGGGGAGCCUAUACAGGUGUUGCAUGGCUGUCGUCAGCUCGUGUCGUGAGAUGUUCGGUUAAGUCCGCUAACGAGCGCAACCCUCGUCGUAUGUUAUAUGUGUCAUACGAGACUGCCGGUAAAAAGCCGGAGGAAGGUGAGGAUGAUGUCAAGUCAGCAUGACCUUUAUAUCCAGGGCUACACACACGCUACAAUGGUCUGUACAAUGGGUAGCCAAGCCGCGAGGCGGAGCCAAUCCUGAAAGCAGGCCUCAGUUCAGAUUGCAGUCUGCAACUCGACUGCAUGAAGCCGGAGUUGCUAGUAACCGCAGGUCAGCAAUACUGCGGUGAAUACGUUCCCGGGUCUU